GGGCACUUGGCUCAGUGGAAGAGCACCGCCUUCACACGGCGGGGGUCACAGGUUCGAACCCUGUAGUGCCCA
rfam:Deltaproteobacteria bacterium RIFCSPLOWO2_02_FTLL_47_10 rifcsplowo2_02_scaffold_38993, whole genome shotgun sequence.